AUACGGAGGAUGCAAGCGUUGUCCGGAUUUACUGGGUGUAAAGGGCGUGUAGGCGGAGAUGCAAGUCAGGAGUGAAAUCUAGGGGCUCAACCCCUAAACUGCUUUUGAAACUGUAUCCCUUGAGUAUCGGAGAGGCAGGCGGAAUUCCUAGUGUAGCGGUGAAAUGCGUAGAGAUCGGGAGGAACACCAGUGGCGAAGGCGGGUAACUGGACUGCAACUGACGCUGAGGCGCGAAAGUGUGGGGAGCAAACAGGAUUAGAUACCCUGGUAGUCCACACUGUAAACGAUGAAUGCUAGGUGUAAGAGGUAUCGACCCCUUUUGUGCCGGAGUCAACACAAUAAGCAUUCCGCCUGGGGAGUACGGCCGCAAGGUUGAAACUCAAAUGAAUUGACGGGG
rnacentral:rRNA from 1 species